CCUACGGGGGGCAGCAGUGAGGAAUAUUCGUCAAUGGGCGCGAGCCUGAACCAGCCACGUAGCGUGAAGGAUGACUGCCCUACGGGUUGUAAACUUCUUUUAUAAAGGAAUAAAGUGAGGCACGUGUGCCUUUUUGUAUGUAUUUUAUGAAUAAGGAUCGGCUAACCUCGUGCCAGCAGCCGCGGUAAUACGGAGGAUCCGAGCGUUAUCCGGUUUUAUUGGGUUUAAAGGGAGCGUAGAGGGGUUGUUAAGUCAGUUGUGAAAGUUUGUGGCUCAACCGUAAAAUUGCUAUUGAUACUGGCAGCCUUGAGUACAGUUGAGGUAGGCGGAAUUCGUGGUGUAGCGGUGAAAUGCUUAGAUAUCACGAAGAACUCCGAUUGCGAAGGCAGCCUACUAAGCUGCCACUGACAUUGAUGCUCGAAAGUGUGGGUAUCAAACAGGAUUAGAUACCCUGGUAGUC
rnacentral:rRNA from 1 species